rnacentral:rRNA from 1 species
CCUACGGGGGGCUGCAGUGGGGAAUAUUGGACAAUGGGGGCAACCCUGAUCCAGCCAUGCCGCGUGUGUGAAGAAGGCCCUCGGGUUGUAAAGCACUUUCAGUGAGGAAGAACGCCUGGUGGUUAAUACCCAUCAGGAAAGACAUCACUCACAGAAGAAGCACCGGCUAACUCCGUGCCAGCAGCCGCGGUAAUACGGAGGGUGCGAGCGUUAAUCAGAAUUACUGGGCGUAAAGCGCGCGUAGGUGGCUUGAUAAGCCGGUUGUGAAAGCCCCGGGCUCAACCUGGGAACGGCAUCCGGAACUGUCAAGCUAGAGUGCAGGAGAGGAAGGUAGAAUUCCCGGUGUAGCGGUGAAAUGCGUAGAGAUCGGGAGGAAUACCAGUGGCGAAGGCGGCCUUCUGGACUGACACUGACACUGAGGUGCGAAAGCGUGGGUAGCAAACAGGAUUAGAUACCCUGGUAGUC